GGUCCCCUUCAUACAUCUCUUGUAAGGAGGUUAAGCCGUUGGCUAUUAGCUGGAAUCUAUAGGUUAUUAGACUUGAUUCUUUAGGAUGUUCAACCAUGUUUAGGUCGUUUGAUGGAGACAAAGAUCCAUCCACCAAUCUUCAAAUAAAGGUUGUUAGUCAUGAAUCUCUAUAGUGGGCCUCACCUGUAUGAAAAAUUGAGU
rnacentral:lncRNA from 1 species